GAAACUUCUCAACCACAAGAUAUGUGGCUUGGAAAUGGGGGAUUUUGCUGCAGGAUAAAUCAAUCUGCUCCCCUGAAACAUAUUAGUGGUUGGACUUAUCCACAGGUGUGAUAACUAAUCAAUGCCUUGGGUAUAUGGCCCUACUGCUUCCAACUUUUUAAAUUUUGACCA
rnacentral:misc_RNA from 1 species